ACGUAGAGUCUUUUUUUCCUCCCAGACGCACUGCGGCACAGCCAGACGACUAGAGUGGAGGCACAGGAGCUCACAGCUGCAGUCUACUGGCUUGUUUCGGGGAGGCAGAGGAGCCGAGCACUUCCUCUCGAAAUACCGUCGCUCUGCUUAUUUUUGCCGUUGAGGGAUCAUUUUCAUUGGGGCAGAUAGUAGAGCCAAGAAAGAAGACAAACUCUGAGUCCAACAACUUGGAAUUAACGUUGGUCUCAUUUGUAGACAGGAAAUUUGGAGAAGCGAGCUGGAUCUUAAUUUUUUUAGGGGUUGCUGACGCCAUCGCUUGCGAGCACCAGACCAGGUUCCUAGGCUGAGAAGUUGGUGCUAAAAGCUUGGAUUCCAGUCCGUCACCUGUCCGUCCCGUCAUAAACCCGUCCCACACGAGACGUCCAGUCAGUCGGGCCCAUCUGCAUUUCCAUUUGCGCCGACCAUCCAAAGUAGCUCCUCUGCUUCAAGGUUAAGGUGGCUUUCGGUCCUAGACUUAGUCCUUGUCCAGAGGGCAGGGCAGAGGCGAACAGAAACAGCGAAGCAGCAGCUAAGCAGAGCUCAGCCAGACAGACGCGGUGACCUAAAUCAGCCCCAGUCAUGUCUGGACGCAGCCAGAGCAAGGCAGACGGAGAGGAAGACAGAGCGAGAGAGAGAGGGAGAGAGCGACCCAAACGUACCGACUUGAACAUAUACUCACACUACGUAAACGGCCGGAUAAAAGGCGGGCUGAAGUGAGUUGGUCAGACAGGCCUUGCCAAACCCACAGGCUGUUCUGCUGCUUUGCUACCGCUGUGGUGUUUUGAUGUGCGCUACUGUGCAGAUGCAGUUUUUGGGCGGUCACCAACAAGCUACUGUACAGGAGGAGACUCUGGGAAAGUAAGGGAUAUCUUUCAAGUAAGAAAAUCCUGCUCCAGUGUGCCACAAGUCAUUGGAGAAGACAGGGCUUUGGAAGGAGAAAGGAAACCUUUAUUUUUUCUGUCCACAGAGAAGUAUAUGAAGGCAUAAAUUCAUAAUGUCUCUCCAAGAAAUGUAUAUUCAAACCAAAAAUUAUUCAGACACCAGAUACCAUUUUUUGAUAUUGUUUUAUUUUUUUUACUAGUGGGUGCAGGAUACUUGUUUAUUUGUGUUAAGUGAGGAUAGCAAAAUAAAGAAAACUGUGACAUAUUAUACCUAAAAAUUCUUUAUACAGUGGACUACCCAACAAAUUUGGGACCAAAAAUUAUUAUCACUUUGACCUAACCAUGUUUUUCUUAAGUUUUUUCCUUUAAUUGCUAAUGUGACAUUUUAUACCAUAGACCCCCCUUCCUCAAAUCUUAGGGCCGUUUCAUAGUCUAAACAGUAAACGCAAGCGUCACGAGUGAUGCGUGUAUGCAAUACACCACUCACGCAACAGGGGGUAGUAGAGUCGGGUCGCGUGAUAUUCAGAUCACAAUGGCAACUGUAGAGGAGUGUAUUCUGUUGCUGAUGAACUAUCGUAUAAAUGUGGAUGAAUACGUAUAAGUUUGCAUAAUUUUUCCUCUUCGCCCGCCAUUGUAUUCAAACCUUCUUCUUCUGUAAACACAAUAUACUUGAAUUAAUGUACAAUAGUAUUGCGUGAAUCGGCGCGUCGCGUAUCAAUAACUAGGACGACACAUUUGGCUACGCACCGACGCAUAAUGGCGGCCGAAGCGUAAUGAUGCGUAGCCUCGGGGACGCAUAUGCGUACAGAUGUGUUGACUAUGAAACGGCCCUUACCCUGGAGGUCCAAUGCGCUGCAGAGUUUAGCACCAACCCUGAUCAAAGUCAGCUGCUUGUGAUUUUCGAAUAAUCCCAAAGACAAUGAUUGGCAUUGAUUAGCAUGCUCAGGUGUGCUUGAUUAGGGUUAGAGCUAAACUCUGCAGGAAAGUGGAUCUCGAGGUCCAGAUUUGAGGAUCCCUGCCAUAGACUGUACAAAAUUAAACAUUGCUUGGUAAUUAGUAGACCUUAAUUGGUAUUAUUUAAUAGUGUAUUUUAUAGGGGUCAAAUGAUGCGAUUAAAAUUUUACCUUUCUGUUUGAAGUGUUGCAACCUCUUGGUGCAUAAGGAAGAUCUGUAAAGUUGCAAAGACUAAAGCCUCAAAUCCAAAGAGAUAAUCUUUAUAACUUUUUCAAGCCUCUCUAAAACGCCUCAUUUAAACAAGCCCCCACGUCUACAUCACUGUGUGAGAAGAUUUGCAUAACACCGCCCAAAUGUUCGCACAAAGAAAGAAGGGAUUACUUUUAUUCUCGCUGUAGGAUUGUUGUUGCCGCCACGGCUAUGUUGUUGAGACACUGAGUGUUUCAUUGUGAAAGUGAAACUACUUUGUAGGAUGAUAUCCUCUUUUUUCCAUUUUUUUCAUAUUUUAUAACUAUUUUCUAAACAAUUGAGAAUAAACUGUGAUAAUAUGAGAAAUAUUGAAGGUGUCUGAAUAAAUGUUGGUUUGACUUUGAAACCAGCUUGCCAAGGUAAGACACAUUUAUAACAGUCAAACUACUGUCAAUGUGUAUCAACCUCAUUUUGUUCAAAAUCUUUAUUACUUUCCUUCUUCUGCCGGACACAAGGUUUUGAAGAUCAGUAGGAGAAAAAGAGUUUUGGUAACCACUGAUUUCCAUUAUAUGAAAAAACAAACAAUCAGACAUUUCGCAAAAUAUAUUUUUUUGUAUAAAGCUGAUCAAUCAGAUAAUAAGGUUUUUGCUUGAAAGUACAAUGAGAGUAAACAUAUCAAACAUACACACUCCUGAUUAAGUUUGGGGGUCUGUAAGAUUUAUUUUAUUUUAUUUUAUUUUUUAUAGGCUUGAAUUUAUUUGAUGGAAAAUACAGCUAAAAUAUAUGCUGUUUGGCUGCUCAAGAAAGAUUUCUUCUUAUUAUUAGAUUGAAAACAUUUGUGCAUGCCACACCUCAUAUUUUCUUCCACCCAUGUGCUUCUGUUUGACUUAGAUUCUGUCUCCGUUUGAUUAUGUCAUAUAGUUCAAAUGUGUCUGGUUAAUUAUCCUCAUUUGCUCCUGUAUAAUAGUUGUGUUCUGUUCUCUGUUUGUCGUCCAUCUACUAUGUCCCUACAUGUGUCUCCAGCCUGUUCUGUCCUGGAUUUACACCUGUCAAUUUAUUAAAGACUAUUUACAUUUAUCAUCUUCUUUGUACAUUUAUCUUACUGUAGCAUGACAGAAAACCAGACCUAGAAGAGAAAGAGUAAGCUGUGCCUUUUCCCUGCGUCUUCUUUUUUCUUUUUUUACAUUUUUUGUUGUUGUUUAUUUCAUUAUGAAUCGGACGGAGAGCCAAUUUUUAGUUUUGUUUGCCUUCAGAUUAGCUUGCCUGUUCCAGAUCGGGGUGAAUAACCAUCACCGUGGACCUCCCAGACACCACUGGACUGAAUCACUGUGGUUGUUCACUCCUCAUGGACCUGUUUUGUUGUGUUUUUUCCCCCCAUGUGCUCUGUUUGACCUAGUUUCUGUCUCCGAUUGAUUAUAUCAUUUGGUUCAGGUGUGUCUGGUUAAUUAUCCUCAUUUGCUUCACUAUAUUAGUGGUGUUUUCUGUUCUUUGUAUGUCGUCUGGUCUACUACAUCCUAACGUGUGUGUCCUGCCUGUUCUGUCCUGGAUUUACCCCUGUGUGGAUUUAUUAAAGGCUAUUUGCAUUCA